rnacentral:rRNA from 1 species
CCUACGGGCGGCAGCAGUAGGGAAUUUUGCGCAAUGGGCGAAAGCCUGACGCAGCAACGCCGCGUGAUCGAGACGCCCUUCGGGGUGUAAAGAUCUGUCAGUGGGGACGAAACUUGACGGUACCCACAGAGGAAGCACCGGCUAACUCCGUGCCAGCAGCCGCGGUAAUACGGGGGGUGCAAGCGUUGUCCGGAAUCAUUGGGCGGAAAGAGUUCGUAGGCGGCACGUAGAGUCUGGUGUUAAAGGCAGAGGCUUAACUUCUGUACGGCACUGGAUACUGGCGAGCUAGAAUGCAGUAGAGGUGAAGGGAAUUCCUGGUGGAGCGGUGAAAUGCUUAGAUAUCAGGAGGAACAGCGGGGGCGUAAGCGCUUAACUGGGCCGUAAUUGACGCUGAGGAUCGAAAGCCAGGGUAGCAAAUGGGAUUAGAUACCAUUGUAGUC